rnacentral:lncRNA from 1 species
AUGUCGUCAACCUAUAACUCACGAGGCGAUCAUCCUGGCAUAGUGCCCUUGGUCUGGUGUGACAUGUGUCCCCAUAGCAAGAGGCUCACACAGCGCAUGGGGGGAGGCGGUCACGAGAUGGUGCACGCGGAGGGUGUGGCCGUGUGGCGCCAGCCACGAAACGCUGGCCGCUGCAGCGGCCAAGAGGCACGAAUCGUCCUCCUCUGGACCCAGCGGAGACAGCACGGCCUGCUGUGCCCCUCUUUCAGACUUCCUGUGACACACUCUGUUGUCUUAAAGCACCCGGUCUGUGGCCAUUUGUCACAGAAGCCACAGGAGCUCCCGUGCCUUUGCCCCCUCCUUCAAAGCCCAUCGGUGUGUGGGGGUGGUCCUGGCACCCUGACGGGAGGCCAUGGUCCUUCCUAUGCACAUGACCCAAUGAACUUGAUGAGACCCAGAGAGGGACUUGUGCGUUCUCGCUCAAGUGCCCUGGCCGCGUGCAGGGGCGGACUGGCAGCUGACCGGCCCCCGGAAGCUUCCUCCCCCGGACACUUGUUUGACAGGUAUAGGUGAGAUAUAGGUAUAUGUCUUUAUAUUUAAAAUGUAUUUCUUGUAGACAGCACAUAAUAUUGGUCAUUCUUCUUUGUUCAAUCUGAUAAUCUUUGCCUUCUAAUUGGUUUCUAAAAGACCAUUUACAUUUAAUGUAAUUAUCCUAAUGUUGGAUUUAAAACUACCAUAUUGCUGCUUGCUUCUUUUUCUCCUCUGAUUAUCUUAGUGGGCUAUUUUCUUAAAGGUUUUACCUGUCUUUCUUUAUAGAUUAUUCCCAAUUCCAACCUGCUGUGUGGGGGAGGUUUUUGUCUCCAAAGAACUUAUUCUUAGCAUGUUCUAGAAUAUGCUCCCUGCUCUUGUUAUCAGUAUGUUUAAUGCGCACAAGUCUUAUCGCCAAUUCGAUGGUGGGUCCUCAAGCCGAGAGAGACAAUACCUUUAUAUCUUCUAUGUUCCUCACGACACCCCACAAAAUCGGGGUCUAGAGAAGGGGCUUAUUACCCAGCUCGGGUGACUCCGUCAUUGGUUUCUUCACUCACGGAAGAUGCUGAAUGAUAUUGGAGGCAAGUCAGGCGAUUGCUGUACAAACACAUGGCAUCCAGCCACACCAUCUCUCUUUAACUAGAGCCCUCAUUUCCCCCUGAUAUUUGUGAUGAAACUUUUCUGGUUUUCUUAGCUUCUCGGUGCCCCCCGCUCAGGGCUCCAGGGGAUGUAGCUCCGUGGAGCUCCGUCCACGGUCCACUUCCUCUUUUGCACACUCUCCUCUGCUGAUCCCAGUCACUUACG